rnacentral:rRNA from 1 species
UACGGAGGGUCCAAGCGUUAUCCGGAUUUAUUGGGGUUUAAAGGGUGCGUAGGCGGUUCAGUAAGUUAUAGGUGAAAUCCCGUGGCUCAACCACGGACCUGCCUCUGAUACUGCUGGUCUUGAGUGAGAAUGAAGCAGCUGGAAUGUGUGGUGUAGCGGUGAAAUGCAUAGAUAUCACACAGAACACCGAUAGCGAAGGCAGGUUGCUAAUUCUCAACUGACGCUGAGGGAUGAAAGCGUGGGGAGGCAAACAGGAUUA